rnacentral:rRNA from 1 species
UACGUAGGUGACCAGCGUUGUCCGGAUUUACUGGGCGUAAAGAGCGCGCAGGCGGUCGUUCAAGUCGAGUGUGAAAGCCCCCGGCUCAACUGGGGAGGGUCACUCGAUACUGAUCGACUUGAAGGCAGGAGAGGGAAGCGGAAUUCCCGGUGUAGUGGUGAAAUGCGUAGAUAUCGGGAGGAACACCAGUGGCGAAGGCGGCUUCCUGGCCUGUUCUGACGCUGAGGAGCGAAAGCGUGGGGAGCGAACAGG